rnacentral:rRNA from 1 species
GACGAACGCUGGCGGCGUGCCUAAUACAUGCAAGUAGAACGCAGUUGCGAACGGGUGAGUAACGCGUAGGUAACUGCCUCAUAGCGGGGGAUAACUAUUGGCAACGAUCGCUAAUACCGCAUCCUGUGAGAUGGACCUGCGUUGUAUUAGCUAGUUGGUGAGGACAAGGAUCACCAAGGCGAGGAUACAUAGCCGACCUGAGAGGGUGAUAGGCGACACUUGGACUGAGAGACGGCCCAGAGGACUACGGGAGGCAGCAGUAGGGAAUCUGCGGCAAUGGAAGGAAGUCUGACCGAGCAACGCCGCGUGAGUGAAGAAGGUUGUCGGAUCGUAAGGAUCUGUUGUUAGAGACGCGGUAACUAACCAGAAAGGGACGGCUAAAUACGUGCCAGCAGCCGCGGUAAUUC